UUCUCCUGGAAACGGGUGGUAAUGCCGGAUGCUCCGACUCCUCGCAUGGGGUGUCGGGAAAGAUUUCAUCGGUAUGGGAUGGGGUCGCGUCCUAUCAGGUAGUCGGCGGGGUAACGGCCCACCGAGCCUACGACGGGUAGCCGGCCUGAGAGGGCGACCGGCCACAUUGGGACUGAGAUACGGCCCAGACUCCUACGGGAGGCAGCAGUGGGGAAUAUUGCACAAUGGGCGCAAGCCUGAUGCAGCGACGCCGCGUGCGGGAUGACGGCCUUCGGGUUGUAAACCGCUUUUGAUCGGGAGCAAGCCUUCGGGUGAGUGUACCUUUCGAAUAAGCACCGGCUAACUACGUGCCAGCAGCCGCGGUAAUACGUAGGGUGCAAGCGUUAUCCGGAAUUAUUGGGCGUAAAGGGCUCGUAGGCGGUUCGUCGCGUCCGGUGUGAAAGUCCAUCGCUUAACGGUGGAUCUGCGCCGGGUACGGGCGGGCUGGAGUGCGGUAGGGGAGACUGGAAUUCCCGGUGUAACGGUGGAAUGUGUAGAUAUCGGG
rnacentral:rRNA from 1 species